rfam:Chlamydiae bacterium RIFCSPHIGHO2_01_FTLL_44_39 rifcsphigho2_01_scaffold_2946, whole genome shotgun sequence.
GAAGGUAGGUCCUUCGGAAUCAGCCUCCAAGGGCGGGUUCCAAGCCACUCAAAGCUGCUGCGAUUAAGAGUUGUUGGUGGUGAGCAUUUGAGGUUAAGUGCCGAGGUAAACCCCGGGCAGGU